GGGUCGUUAGCUCAGUUGGUAGAGCAGCGGACUUUUAAUCCGUUGGUCGCGUGUUCGGAGUCACGCACGACCCACCA
rnacentral:tRNA from 1 species